UACGAAGGGGGCUAGCGUUGUUCGGAAUCACUGGGCGUAAAGCGCACGUAGGCGGAUGUGCCAGUCAGAGGUGAAAUCCCGGAGCUCAACUCCGGAACUGCCUCUGAUACAGCACGUCUUGAGUUCGAGAGAGGUGGGUGGAAUUCCUAGUGUAGAGGUGAAAUUCGUAGAUAUUAGGAAGAACACCGGUGGCGAAGGCGGCCCACUGGCUCGAUACUGACGCUGAGGUGCGAAAGCGUGGGGAGCAAACAGG
rnacentral:rRNA from 1 species